rnacentral:rRNA from 1 species
AACGAACGCUGGCGGCAGGCCUAACACAUGCAAGUCGAGCGAAGCCUUCGGGCUUAGCGGCGGACGGGUGAGUAACGCGUGGGAACGUGCCCUUUGGUACGGAAUAGCCCCGGGAAACUGGGAGUAAUACCGUAUGUGCCCUUCGGGGGAAAGAUUUAUCGCCAAAGGAUCGGCCCGCGUUGGAUUAGGUAGUUGGUGGGGUAAUGGCCGACCAAGCCGACGAUCCAUAGCUGGUUUGAGAGGAUGAUCAGCCACACUGGGACUGAGACACGGCCCAGACUCCUACGGUAGGAGGCAGUGGGGAAUAUUGGACAAUGGGCGAAAGCCUGUUCCAGCAAUGCCGCGUGAGUGAUGAAGGCCUUAGGGUUGUAAAGCUCUUUUACUAGGGAUGAUAUGACAGUACCUAGAGAAUAAGCUCCGGCUAACUCCGUGCCAGCCGCCGCCGUAACAC